AGAUAACAGUACACUGUGACACAGCAAGACACACACACACACACACACACACACACAUACUCUCUUUCCAUUGCUGUUCUUCAGAAACACACUCGGCUGACUCGUUGACCUUUAUCCUCUAUGUGAGUGAGAAGCCCAAAAUGGUGGCAAUGAACGGAGAAGUGCCAGUGAUGGUGGUGUUGAGCAGUGUGUUUACUCUGUGUGUGCUCAUCGUCUCUACACUCUGGACAUGUUGGAAGAUCAGAAGAGCCAUGAGAACUGAAACCCAGGAGACGUACAUGCUGUACCCAGAGCAGACGAUGGAUGAGCUGAAAGAGAACAAAAGUGAAGAGGAGGAGGCGGUAGAGGAGACAGAGGAGGUGGAGGAGGAGGAAGACAACAGUUGAAGAAACCGACAGCUCAACUGUGUCACAGUAACAUCUCGUAUUGAAUGCUGUAUUUUGGGGAUUUGAGGCUGUAGGUGAAGCUAAAAGCCGUUAAAAUGUAGGGAGAUACGACACGAGGCUCUGAAAAUAAAUAAAGAACAAAUUUUACAGAUAUAA